GACGAACGCUGGCGGCGUGCCUAACACAUGCAAGUCGAACGGAAAGGCCCUGCUUUUGCGGGGUUCUCGAGUGGCGAACGGGUGAGUAACACGUGAGUAACCCGCCCUUGACUUUGGGAUAACUUCAGGAAACUGGGGCUAAUAUCGGAUAGGAUCUCCUGCUGCACGUGGGUGGAUGGAAAGUUUCGGCGGUUGGGGAUGGACUCGCGGCUUAUCCGCUUGAUUGUCUGGUAGUGGCUUACAAAGGGUAUGACGGGUAGCCGGCCUGAGAGGGUGACCGGCCACAUGGGGCCUGAGAUACGGACCAGUCGGCUACGGGACGCAGCGGUGGGGAGUAUUGCACAAUGGGCGGAAGCGUGUGACAGCAGCGCCGCGUGCGGGAUGACGGGCUUCGGGUUGUGAACAGCUUUCGCCUGUGACGAGGAGUGAGUGACGGUAAUGGGUAAAGAAGCACCGGCUAACUACGUG
rnacentral:rRNA from 1 species